GUAGGGAGCAAGCGUUAUCCGGAUUUAUUGGGUGUAAAGGGUACGUAGGCGGCCUCAUAAGUCUGUGGUUUAAGCCCGAAGCUAACUUCGGUUCGCCACAGAAACUGUUUGGCUUGAGUAUGGUAGAGGCAAGUGGAAUUUCUAGUGUAGCGGUUAAAUGCGUAGAUAUUAGAAGGAACACCAGUGGCGAAGGCGACUUGCUGGGCCAUUACUGACGCUGAGGUACGAAAGCGUGGGGAGCAAAUAGGAUUAGAUACCCUAGUAGUCCACGCCGUAAACGUUGGAUACUAAGUGUCGGAGUUUCCGGUGCUGAAGUUAACACAUUAAGUAUCCCACCUGAGUAGUACGGUCGCAAGGCUG
rnacentral:rRNA from 1 species